rnacentral:rRNA from 1 species
UACGUAGGGUGCAAGCGUUGUCCGGAAUUAUUGGGCGUGAAGAGCUCGUAGGCGGUCUGUCGCGUCGGAUGUGAAAAUCCAGGGCUCAACCCUGGACCUGCAUUCGAUACGGGCAGACUAGAGUUCGGCAGGGGAGACUGGAAUUCCUGGUGUAGCGGUGAAAUGCGCAGAUAUCAGGAGGAACACCGGUGGCGAAGGCGGGUCUCUGGGCCGAUACUGACGCUGAGGAGCGAAAGCGUGGGUAGCAAACAGG